rnacentral:rRNA from 1 species
CCAGCAGCCGCGGUAAUUCCAGCUCCAAUAGCGUAUAUUAAAGUUGUUGCAGUUAAAAAGCUCGUAGUUGAACUUCUGCUCAGGACUAUUUCGAUUCGUCGGGUAGUGCUGGGCAUACGUCUGCAAGCUAAAAUCGGCCUUUACUGGUUCGACUUAGUAAGUAGACAUUUUACUGUGAAAAAAUUAGAGUGUUUCAGGCAGGUUUUAGCCCGUAUACAUUAGCAUGGAAUAAUGGAAUAGGACUAGGUCCAUUUUAUUGGUUCUUGGAUUUAGUAAUGAUUAAUAGGGACAGUUGGGGGCAUUAGUAUUUAAUAGUCAGAGGUGAAAUUCUUGGAUUUAUUAAGGACUAACUAAUGCGAAAGC